CAUGUAGGCGGAUAUGGAAGUCAGCUGUGAAAUCCCUUGGCUCAACCAAGGAAGUGCAUCUGAAACCACAUAUCUUGAGUAUGACAGAGGGAAGUGGAAUUCCCAGUGUAGAGGUGAAAUUCAUAGAUAUUGGGAAGAACACCGGUGGCGAAGGCGGCUUUCUGGGUCAUUACUGACGCUGAGAUGCGAAAGCGUGGGGAGCAAACA
rnacentral:rRNA from 1 species